GGGGUCAAUGGUGACCUGGGGGUCAAUGGAGACCUGGGGUCAAUGGGGGUCCUUGUGGACCCUUUGGGGUCUCUGGGGUCACUGGGGGUGCAUAGAGGAUCACUUUGGGGUCCGUGGGGGUCGCCCUGAGGCCAACGUGGGCCCACCUUGGGGUCCCCCCGGGGUGUUUGGGACCCACAGGGGAUCACCGUGGGGACGUUGGUGACGCCCUGAGGUCACCUUUGGGGAUCCCGCGGCCCUUUCUGGGGUCCCCGAGGCCGCCCUGGGGUCACUUCGGGAGCUGUGGGGCCGCCCCAUGGCCGCCUUUGGGAUCUCCACAGUGCUCGGAGGACUUCAACCCCAAACGGGGAAACUGAGGCAGGCAGCGACCUGCGAUACCCCCUCCCCCCCCCCCACUUUUGCCACCGGGUUUGAGUGCUGGGGGGGUGUGGGCCGUCCCCCCGCCGCGCUCCUCCCCACCGCAGGGCCCCCCCGGUGCCUUCAUCCUCCUCCUCCUCCUCCUCCUCUCUGUGUCGGCUCCGCAGCCCCCGCGUGUAUCCUUCAGCUCCGUCCCCACUGCCGGAGGAACCCAUGGGGCCCCCAGGGCACAACCUGAGCUGCGUGUCCUAUAAGCACCCCAGUGUGCGGGGCAGCCUGGUGGGGGGGGAGGUGGGGGCAGCCCCCAGCACCGUUCGCUGCCCCCCCCGGCAGUGCUGCAUUGGGAUCUGGAACCGCAGUCAGGCGCUGGUGCAGGG
ensembl:lncRNA